CAGGAUCCAGUCUCCAGUUCAGCUGUAUACAUUGCAGUCCUCACUUGUAUGAACUUCUCUUCAUAGAGCUUGUUAAAAGUCUUGACAGCCAGCUGACACCUGAUGCAUCAGUUGAAGCUCACAGAAAUGAAGGUAUUGUUGAAGCAUAGGAAACUCAGCUUCAUUCUGCACAAAAGCAGAAAUUUUCCCUGGAGAGGAACAACGCCUCUUCUACCAGCCCAAACAAACACUUACGUAAAAUGAGAAGGACCCUGUGGUCUUGAAGCAGAGACAAGUUCUCCCAAAACAAGCUAAGGAACACAAGAAUGAGAACUGCAGGACUAAAUCUAAAGAAGAGGAACAGAAUACCUGCCAUGUAGUUGAGGGACCACCAGCCGCCGUACGCGUACAGCCCCUGGAAGAAGGCUUCGGCAAUCUGUGAGGCGUUGGGGAUCUCUGAGCUGAACAUGUCCUCAAACCUGGCCAGACUCUCCUUUUGCCUGGUAACGAGGAGAACUAUGCCACCAACAGCAAUCACAGACAAGGCCAUCAUCUUCAGCAGAGUGAAAACUGUCUGCACCCACGCAGACAUUUUGACGCUGAGGCCAUUUAAAAUCCCCAGGGACCAGAGAACGGCCAAGGCCAAGCACUUCUUCAGCACGUCUGGUGCAGGACAAAUGCCAUAGAAUGGCUGUGUGGCAUAUUCAGCAAACAGCAAGGCUCGAGCAGCAUUUGAUGCUGGCUUGGUGAACGUUGCUGUCCAGAUAAACACGAAGGCGGGUAGGGAUCCAAGGCCUCUUUUAAUGUGGCUGUACUCUCCUCCAGAGAAGGGCAGAGCGGUUCCCAGCUCCGCAUAGCAGAGGGCACCCAUCAGAGAAACCAGCCCAGACGCAGUCCAGAUCGUUAAUGCAACGCCAACAUUGAGUAAGGAAUGUUUUAACACCCCUGUGGGAGACACGAAGAUCCCUGCUCCAACAAUUGAUCCUAUAAUAAAACUUAC